GCAGGGCGGGUGAUCGCGGCUGUACUUGUCUCUACCAUACCCUCCGGGGUCUGCGGCAGAGACUGAUCCCGAAAGGGCGCAGCUGAGGAAAGUCCGGGCUUCGCAGGGCAGGAUGCCGGAUAACGUCCGGUGGAGGUGACUCCCAGGCCAGUGCAACAGAAAUAUACCGCCUGUCGGAUACGCUCCGGUGUGUCCGCCGGGUAAGGGUGAAAAGGCAGUGUAAGAGACUACCGUCUUCAUGGUAACAUGGAGAGCCAUGUAAACCCCAUCCGAAGCAAGACCAGAACGAGGACCAUGGGUCGGCCCGGCCCGUCUUCAGGUAGGUCGCUUGAGUCCGCCGGUGACGGCGGUCCCAGAUAGAUGAUCAUCCACGACAGAACCCGGCUUACAGCUCUGCUUAU
rnacentral:RNase_P_RNA from 1 species